rnacentral:rRNA from 1 species
AGUGAACGCUGGCGGUAGGCCUAACACAUGCAAGUCGAACGGCAGCACAGUAAGAGCUUGCUCUUACGGGUGGCGAGUGGCGGACGGGUGAGGAAUACAUCGGAAUCUACUUUUUCGGGGGGGAUAACGUAGGGAAACUUCCGCUAAUACAGCAUACGACCUACGGGUGAAAGCAGGGGAUCUUCGGACCUUGCGCGAUUGAAUGAGCCGAUGUCGGAUUAGCUAGUUGGCGGGGUAAAGGCCCACCAAGGCGACGAUCCGUAGCUGGCCUGAGAGGAUGAUCGGCCACACUGGAACUGAGACACGGUCCAGACUCCUACGGGAGGCAGCAGUGGGGAAUAUUCGACAAUGGGCGCAAGCCUGAUCCAGCCAUACCGCGUGGGUGAAGAAGGCCUUCGGGUUGUAAAGCCCUUUUGUUGGGAAAGAAAAGCAGCAGGUUAAUCCCCCGCUGUUCUGACGGUACCCAAAGAAUAAGCACCGGCUAACUUCGUG